rnacentral:lncRNA from 1 species
UAGUGAUGAUUAAUAAAAUAGUAUGAUUAACGGGUAGAUCUAAUGGUGGAAAAAUUGGUAGUACCAAAUACUCGAUUAAUUAGUGUUGGUUUAAAGGGGCCAGCAUCCUGCCUUGUGGCAGGAGGCCAGGUUGGGCCGAGUCACGUACGAAAUGGCGUAAGGUCGAAUUGGAUUGAGUCAUAUUCGAUGUGGUGUGAGGCUGGUUGGGCCGAGUGAUAAUCGAGA